rnacentral:lncRNA from 1 species
GCCUGAAGCCUUGCUCACUGCUUAAGGGAAGUCAACUUCCACUGGGUUUAGAGUGACUUCAAGAACCAGAGGGAUGCUCAGGUGGAGGCUUCAUAGCUGCACGGCAUCAAUCAAUUGAUUGUGCGCUGGGUUCUGGGAAUCCGAAACCAGACAUAGUCCCUGCUUUCAGGGAGCUCACAUUCCAAUGGAGGAAAUAACCCUGCAAUCUUCUCAGAGUUACCAGCAUCAUUCCUCCUGUACUUUGGAACCAUCAUUAAUAGCUAAAUAACAUUAAACAAAGAAAAGCACUGCUCUGAUGUAGACACGACUUGUUAAAAGCAAGAACUCUGGACAAAGAUGGAUGCAAGAGUGAAUGUUGGGUACAAGAAAAUGUAAUGAUUCACAC